AUUGAACGCUGGCGGCAUGCCUUACACAUGCAAGUCGAACGGCAGCACGGGAGCUUGCUCCUGGUGGCGAGUGGCGAACGGGUGAGUAAUACAUCGGAACGUACCCUGAAGUGGGGGAUAACGUAGCGAAAGUUACGCUAAUACCGCAUAUUCUGUGAGCAGGAAAGAGGGGGAGUCGCAAGACCUCUUGCUUUAGGAGCGGCCGAUGUCGGAUUAGCUAGUUGGUGAGGUAAAGGCUCACCAAGGCGACGAUCCGUAGCGGGUCUGAGAGGAUGAUCCGCCACACUGGGACUGAGACACGGUCCAGACUCCUACGGGAGGCAG
rnacentral:rRNA from 1 species